AUUUUAUGCUUUGAGUGUCCUUGAUCACCUAAUUGUAGUAUAUCUGCCUUUCCUACAGUCUCAUGAGAUGAAAAGGGAGAGCCAUGGCAAACGACUCUCACCCUCUGCUUGUUCAAGCUGUGUAUUCUUUUCAAGGAAAAAACAAUGAUGAAUUGUGCUUUAAAAAGGGUGACAUCAUAACUGUCACUCAGACAGAAGAAGGGGGAUGGUGGGAGGGUACACUUGCCACAACUGACAAGACAGGGUGGUUCCCAUCAAAUUAUGUAAAAGAAUAUAAACCACAGGAUACUUCUGUUUUAGAAGCCAUGACUAUUAUUAGCAAAACAAGUCCCUCAGUACAAAUGCCAGUAGAUUUGACUGCUCAACAAAAAGCUUACAGGAAUUUGGUGCUAAGGGACAUUAUCGACUCUGAGAAAGCAAAUGUAGCCGAGCUUCAAACUCUGGUCCAGAAUUUUCUUCAUCCCUUAGAAAACGCAGAAGUAGUACCGCGUGAUGAAUAUCGACAGUUAGUUAGCAAUAUGGAUGAAAUCCUUGCUGUUCAGCAACAUCUAUUAGCUGCUCUCGAAGACUGUGCCACAAAACAACCAAGUGAACAGAGGAUUGGUCGUGUAUUUUUAACGAAUGCACCCCACAUGAAGCAAGUGCACCAAACCUAUUGUGCUGCACACCCUAGAGCUGUUUGUGUGAUUGAUAAAUACAAAGAUGAGUUGAAUACAUGGAUGGAAUCUGUGGGAGCAAGUGUUCCUGGCAUACUUGUGCUCACCACUGGUCUUAGUAAACCAUUUCGACGCUUAGACAAGUAUGCAAGCAUGUUGCAGGAACUAGAGCGCCAUGUUGAAGAAAACCAUCCUGAUCGAGGAGAUACCCAAAGAUCUGUCAGCAUUUAUAAGGAAAUUGCAUCUGCUUGUUCUACUACAAGACGUCAGAAAGAACUUGAACUGGAAGUUCUAACCGGUGGAGUACGAGGAUGGGAAGGAGAUGACCUUCAAAUUCUUGGUGACAUAGUACAUAUGGGCUCAGUUGCUGUUGGUCCAGACCACCGUGACCGAUAUUUGGUUCUCUUUCCUUCAACUCUCCUGAUGUUAAGUGUUAGUCCACGUAUGAGUGCCUUUAUAUAUGAGGGAAAGUUACCAUUGACUGGUAUUACAGUAAAUAAGCUUGAAGACACUGAUAAUUAUAAGAAUGCUUUUGAAAUUGUUGGACCAUUAAUAGAACGUAUUGUGGCUGUCUGCCAAACUCGAGAAGAUCAACAAACCUGGGUUGACACACUUCGUCAUCAAAUCAGAUGUGUACUACAUAAAUCAUCCAGCCCUAAAUCACCACUUCCACCACCUCAUGGAAAUCAGCACCAAUUGAUAGUAACAAGGAACAGCAGUAGCAUCACCAGACCCAGCAACUUGAAUGUUAACAACAAUAUUAACAACAUCAACAAUAACCACAUUCAUGCUGCAAGUGUAAACAACAUCAACAACAAUAAUUAUAGUAGCAACCCUAGUGUAAAGAGUUGGACAGCAACAAACUUACGACCUGCCCCUCCUGUUAGAAUUGCUGCUUCACUGGUCAGAGAUGAUUUACGAAAGUCUACUAGAGGGCCUCGUAAAAUUAACGAGAGGAGCUAUGAAGAAGAUGCAUUAGUUCUCCGUGUUAUUGAAUCAUAUUGCACAAGUGCUAAAACCCGUUCAACAAUCAGCUCAGAACCUGCAUCUUCAGGGGGCAACUCUGUGGGAUUCCAAGAGCCUGGUGCUCGAGGUACCCAAUCAAGUCAAGGAAAGGGGAAACACAAAAUUCUCAGCUGGCUUCUGGACUAGUCACAAUGACUCUUCAAACUGAACUGGACUUAAAAUAUGCUCUUCUAAUAGCCGUAUUAGCCUCUUAAUAUUCUAUACUUUCUUAUUGUGUAGAACUUAUUAUAAAAUUGAGUCAGUGUUCGUAUUAAUUUUUUGUGAAGUCAAGAUAAAGAAGAUAGACCUAUGUUGUGGAGCUGUCUAAAAACAUCUAUCUUAGGUAUUAACUAUGUUAGAUAUGUUUGCUAAUACUACUUGCACUCAUCCUUGUAAGAUUUAUUUAGCUCAUAUAAUUACAGGGUUGUUACAGACAGACUAGAAAUUUCAGGAAUUAGAAAAUUGGUCAGUAAAAGUUGGGAAAAUUGAGGUCACAGUCUGCAAAAUUUCUCCUGUCGACUGCUUCCUGGUAAAUAAAUGUGUAACAAUACCCCUUAGAAAAAGUGGUGAUACAUUUUUAUCCCCUUUCUUAACAUUUUGCUGUUUUUUGUCUUUUUUGACGGAAAAGUCUGUGAAAUUAAAAAUCCAGAACUUGUAACAACCCUGAGUUAUGACUAAAAUACUGUUCUGCGGAACAAAGAUAAUGGUGAAUGUUCAUUUCCUUACCUAUAGGUAUGUACUCUGAUUGUACUAGUCAUGUGCUAUUCAUGUGGAACAUUCCUAGUUAUAUAAAAUAUGUGGGUAGUUAUUUUAUUUUUAUGUGUAUGUUCACUUCAACAUAUGAUAAUUUUUUUUAUUUAUAGUUUGAAAAUUUGUUGACGAAUCAUAGUAAAUGAAUGUAUAACCUCAAGAAUAAUUUUUAAGUACCAUACCAUUUCAUGCAAGCUUUGUUUGGAUAAUUGUCAUUAGAUCCUGUGGAUUGGUGGUCGUGUGGUGGUUGUGUUUAGACAAAAAUUUUGGCCGUAUUGAAAAUUGAUUUGUGCUGCAUUUCUUUUUCAUUUUUGUGGUAUAUUGUUUUAGCUCUCCUGGAAAGCCCCCAAGAAAAGGGUGUAGGAAAUUCCAUAGGAGGCCAAAGUCCACAAGCAGAAGAUAAGAAAGUGUUGGAUGCAGUACAUGCCUUGAGCCAGAAAGUGAAUGAUCUUCAGGGACAAAUUAAUACAUUAAUGCAAC